CCCAAUUAUUCAAUUUUUGAUGAAAUCAAACUAAGUUCAAUUUUGGACCCUUUGGGCCCCUUAUUCCUAAACUGUUGGGACCAAAACUCCCAAAAUCAAACCCAACCUUCCUUUAGUGGUCAUAAACCUUGUGUUUAAAUUUCAUAGAUUUCUAUUUACUUAAACUAAAGUUAUGGUGCAAAAACCAAGAAUAAUGCUUACUUGGGCCCCUUUUUGGCCCCUAAUUCCUAAACUGUUCAGACCUCAACUCCCAAAAUCAAUACCAACCUUCCUUUUGUGGUCAUAAACCUUGUGUUUAAAUUUCAUUGAUUUCUAUUUACUUAAACUAAAGUUAUUGUGCGAAAACCAAGAAUAAUGCUUAUUUGGGCCCUUUUUUUGCCCCUAAUUCCUAAACUGUUAGAACCAAAAUUCCCAAAAUCAAUCCCAACCUUCCUUUUGUGGUCAUAAACCUUGUGUCAAAAUUUCAUAGAUUUCUAUUUACUUAAACUUAAGUUAUUGUGCGAAAACCAAGAAAAUGCUUAUUUGGGCCCUUUUUGGCC
rnacentral:lncRNA from 1 species